GGUGACUGGUCUGCACGGUGUUGGUCUGUGUUAUGUGUUGCUGUCGGAUUGCGUUUUGCAGUCUUGGCAGCAGCGCUCACUCCACACCUACAGCCAUAGAAAAACGAGAGAUCAUAGUACUGGUCCUUGACGUCUGUAUGGACUUCUCACCAUUGAUCAGCCUCCAAAUUCUCUGACAAGC